UUCACGCUCUGGAGACAAGUCAUAGAUAUCUUUAGGAAAACAUUAGGAAUCACACACCACUUACAUAUCAAUAUCCGUCACAUUUCUCCUCACUCUCCGAGAAGCAAAUCUCAAUAAUACCUGAUGGUUCUCCCUCAAAGAUAUCUCAACUAGACCAGCUGACAGGAAUCUCGAACCCGCAUCCUCUUUGGAUUCAAAAAACUACAUUGGCUUAUCAAAACAAUUGGUAAACACUUUGUUUAACUCAAACUAAUUCAUUCCAAGAAUAACAU
rnacentral:lncRNA from 1 species